rnacentral:rRNA from 1 species
CGAAAGCCUGAUCCAGCAAUGCCGCGUGUGGGAAGAAGGCCUUCGGGUUGCAAACCACUUUUGUACGGAACGAAACGGUUCGCUUUAAUACAGUGGGCUAAUGACGGUACCGUAAGAAUAAGCACCGGCUAACUACGUGCCAGCAGCCGCGGUAAUACGUAGGGUGCGAGCGUUAAUCGGAAUUACUGGGCGUAAAGCGUGCGCAGGCGGUUAUAUAAGACAGUUGUGAAAUCCCCGGGCUCAACCUGGGAAUUGCAUCUGUGACUGUAUAGCUAGAGUACGGUAGAGGGGGAUGGAAUUCCG